AGGGAUAUCGGAUGGAGGGAUAGCUGACGAAGGUAUAGCGGAUUGGGGGAUAGCAAAAGGAAAGCUAGUGGAUGGAGGGAUAGAUGACAGAGAUAGUGGAUGGAGGGAUAGUGGAUGGAGGGAUAGCUGACAGAUAGCAGAUGGAGGGAUAGUGGAUGGAGGGAUAGCUGACAGAGAUGGUGGAUGGAGGGAUAGUAGAUGGAGGGAUAGCUGACGGACAGAAAGCGGAUGGAGGGAUAGUAGAUGGAGGGAUAGCUGAGAUAGAGAAAGCGGAUGGAGGGAUAGUAGAUGGAGGGAUAGCUGACGGAGAGAAAGCGGAUGGAGGGAUAGUAGAUGGAGGGAUAGCUAAGAUAGAGAAAGCGGAUGGAGGGAUAGUAGAUGGAGGGAUAGCUGACAGAGAGAAAGCGGAUGGACGGAUAGCUGACAGAGAUAGCUGACGGAGAGAAAGCGGAUGGACGGAUAGCUGACAGAGAUAGCGGAUGGUGGGAUAGUGGAUGGAGAGAUAGCGGAUGGAGGGCUAGCUGACAAAGAUCACAAAAGUACCUAAUCUUGUUGCUCAUCGUCACUUCCUGUCCCUGUUCUGAUUACUUUACUCAGAGAAUGUGUGUGUGUGUGUGUGUGUGUGUGUGUGUGUGUGUGUGUGUGUGUGUGUGUGUGUGUGUGUGUGUGUGACGCUCUCUGUCUCUCCCACACCUGUGUAUUCUCUGUACAGUUAAAACUACGUCACUGGAGGAGAAAAGCUCAUCUGCUUCCUGCUAUGAAAAGGUUAAUUAGCUUAUGUGCAGACUUCCACACUGUGUGUCUCUCAGAAGAGCUGUCCAAACAUGGACUUUCACCUGCGGCUGUACACACACGCGCAAACACACACACACGCACACACACGCGUACACGCGCACACACACACACACGCACACACACGCGUACACGCGCACACACACACACACACGAAACACCUAAACCAAAAUUGAAACACUGCCAAACACGAAGACAGGAGAUCAGAGCAGAAGGAGCGCAUCACUGCACUGGCACAGAGACGGAGAGAAAGAGAGAGAAACACACACCUGCUCAAGGCACGCAGACGAGACGGGGCAUAAUAAAGACACUGACGAGAUCAACAAGGGACUGUGGCAGGAGGGAAGUUAGGAAGGAAGGAAGGAAGGAAGGAAGGAAGGAAGGAAGGAAGGAAGGAAGGAAGGAAAAACAGUAAAGGAAAUAACACGAGCAGCAACUAUGUACAAAGUGGCGGAGAGACGUACAGCAGGAGAAUCCCAGCAGGUUAAUAAAGCUGGAACAGAAUCCACAGUCUGGACCUUCAUGUCUACUAUCAGUUCCACAGUGAGGUGAUCAGAGGAACAUACAGAGGCAGCCAUCAAAAGAUCCCCAGCUGCACAGAGUAUAAACUGGAGGACAGAAGUUUCCACCAAAACUGAUCUGAUGUCUUUUUUAUUCUCUUUCUUCUGUCCUUCUUUUGGGAUUUUCUUCUUUUGUUUCUAUAUUCUGUAUUUUUUAAUUUCUUUUUUUCUUUCUUUCCAA